AGCAGCCGCGGUAAUUCCAGCUCCAAUAGCGUAUAUUAAAGUUGUUGCAGUUAAAAAGCUCGUAGUUGAAUUUCGAGACCGGCUUACUGGUCGUGCUUUUGUACGUACUGGUGUAAUCGGUUUCUCCUUUCUGACGAACUAUAAUGCCAUUAAUUUGGUGUUAUAGGGAAUUAGGACUGUUACUUUGAAAAAAUUAGAGUGUUUAAAGCAGGCUCACGCUUGAAUACAUUAGCAUGGAAUAACGGAAUAGGACGUUUGAUUCUAUUUUGUUGGUUUCUAGGAUCGACGUAAUGAUUAAUAGGGAUAGUUGGGGCAUUAGUAUUCAAUUGUCAGAGGUGAAAUUCUUGGAUUUAUUGAGGACUAACUACUGCGAAAGCAUUUGCCAAGGAUGUUUUCAUUAAUCAAGAACGAAGUUAGGGGAUCGAAGACGAUCAGAUACCGUCGUAGUCUUAACCAUAAACUAUGCCGACUAGGGAAUCGGAUGAUGUUAAUUUUUUAAUG
rnacentral:rRNA from 1 species